GGGUGAUUAGCUCAGCUGGGAGAGCGUCUGCCUUACAAGCAGAANNACAAGCAGAAUGUCGGCGGUUCGAUCCCGUCAUCACCCACCA
rnacentral:tRNA from 1 species